rnacentral:rRNA from 1 species
UACGGGGGGAGCAAGCGUUGUUCGGAUUUACUGGGCGUAAAGAGCUCGUAGGCGGCUUGUCGCGUCGACUGUGAAAACUCGGGGCUCAACUCCGAGCUUGCAGUCGAUACGGGCAGGCUAGAGUUCGGUAGGGGAGACUGGAAUUCCUGGUGUAGCGGUGAAAUGCGCAGAUAUCAGGAGGAACACCGGUGGCGAAGGCGGCUCUCUGGGACGGUACUGACGCUGAGACGCGAAAGCGUGGGGAGCAAACAGG